rnacentral:piRNA from 1 species
AUUGCGACUGCUCUUCUAAG